rnacentral:lncRNA from 1 species
CUUUGAAGAAUAUUUCAUUGAAACACGGUAUCGUCCGGGUUGAUAUUUUAGAAGAAUGAUCUAUCGAUCGUUCUGAAUGAAAGAAAUUAAUUCCAUAUACGUAUAAAAGGACACAUGUAUAUUAAUAAAUACAACUCGUCUAUACAUCAGCCCAACAGCUUUCUCAAUUUUUUUUUCUUCCCUCGCCUUGAUUCGAACUCGUGCUACUGAGAUAUCGUGACACCAAAUCGCCUGCACUGUAUCCGACGUGCUCAGCCACUCGACCACCUUGGAGUCACAGCCAUCUAUAUCUAUCUACAGGAGAAACAGCCACUAAAGCCGCGGGUGGUAUAAAACAAGAGAGAUGUAUCGGUCUGUCAUUUGUUUCAAACAUUCCUACAUUGACCUAUAAUGGUUUACUUUUAUAAAUUAUUAUUUGGAUGGAGAGUUGUCUCAUUGCAUGGUACAUAUACCACAUCUUCCUAUAUCUAUCUACAACAGUUGUUAACAUCCAAACAAAUUCCUUCAUUAUGUCGGUUGGCGGUUUAACAUUAUCUUUAUCGUUGUUUUUGAUGCAUUUUUUUUUUUUUUUGCAUUUCCAGACUAGUUGUGUUGCAUAAUAUAUUUACGUUGUCAUCAAUAUGUGUUUGUUUUCUAGCAAUGCGCAGUUUACUAGCCACUAUAUAUAUAUGUAUCCGUAUAGUGAAAAAUGCAGGAUUGUUCAGUAUACGGAUAUGGAUAGUAAAAGAGGGACGAAAGAUACCAAAGGGAGAGUCAAAC